UGGUGUUGUAAAAUGUCUGGUUAAUUCCGAUAACGAACGAGAUCCAAACUUUCAAGUUGGCACCUAUAGUAGUUCUAUAUGGUGGACUCUUUGAAGGACUACUGACCUAAGUCAGGGGAAGUUUUGGGCUAAAUCA
rnacentral:rRNA from 1 species